rnacentral:rRNA from 1 species
UACGUAGGGGCCGAGCGUUGUCCGGAGUUAUUGGGCGUAAAGCGCGCGCAGGCGGCUUGACGCGUCCGACGUGAAAGCCCCCGGCUUAACCGGGGAGGGUCGUCGGGUACGGUCAGGCUUGAGGGCGGGAGAGGGUGGUGGAAUUCCCGGUGUAGUGGUGAAAUGCGUAGAGAUCGGGAGGAACACCUGUGGCGAAGGCGGCCGCCUGGGCCGACCCUGACGCUGAGGCGCGAAGGCGUGGGGAGCGAACGGG